rfam:Danio rerio chromosome 6, GRCz11 reference primary assembly.
GGUCACAGUCAUUUCACCCUGCAGCAGGCCUGAGCCUGGCCAGUACCUGGAUGGGAGACUACAUGGGAAAACUAGGUUGCUGUUGGAA